AGGCAGGCCUUUGGUAAAUGGAAAAUUUGCAUUUUGGUCCUCCCAAUAAUUAAAAUUUCAAUUUAAGACUUUUAACGCAAAAUUCAUGUCUUCCCACUGCAUACAAAAAUCCGGGUACCUGAGAAAGAUGAUGCCAUUUGCCCAAGUUCCCGAAAUGUCGUAAAACUACAUUCAAAUCUUGCGGCUUUAAAAUCCCACCGAGUUCUUGAAGUGAAGAGCUCAAAUUAGAAGAUUGUUGGAGCUGAAGAAGAGCAGAUUGUCUUUUUAAGUAAGACUUGGAGUGAGGACGAGUGGGGUUGGGUUCUUUAAAGGGAGUUGCUGGUGGUGGUGCAGAGGUGAGAUUAGUGAAGCUGGCUCUUGGGGUGGGAUAGGAUAUUGAAGGAAUUGUCGGAAAAGAAGAGGGUAAUGGAUGGAUGAUAAAAUGGUGAUGAAACUGAAACCUGUUUGUACUAAGAAUCGACGAUAUCUCCAUUAUAGAGAGUUUUGUUCUUCUUAAUUUUAUUUUAUCAGUGUUGCUUCGGUUUUCAACGUUUUUAAAAGAUAGUUGACGUCCGGUAUAGUUCAUGGGCCGGCCGGGUCAGGUGAAGACCCGAUUCAAAAAAAUCUUUAGGCCCGAACUCAAGCUCAGUCCUCUCGAGUCCACUUAAAUGAUCCAUUCUACUGAAGAAAGGGUAAAUUUCAUCCAAGGUCACCAAACUAUUAGUAAGUUUACGUUUUGGUCACUCGACUUCAAAAAGUUACAAAAUGGUCAUUGAACUUUUUGAAAGUUUUCAUUUAAGUCACUAGGCUGUGAAACUCGAUGUUUUAUGGCCUUCUUCAUUCACAACACUUGCGCCAAUCAAAAACUCUUCUUCUCUUUCUCUUCUAAAGUUAAAUUUUUUUCUCAUGAAAUAGUUUUAAACGUCACGAAUUUCUAAAUCAAAAUCCAAAAAACUUUCUUUUCUUAUCUCUAACACUUACGGUCAGAUGGACUUCGAUGUAAGAUAUGUUUCUUUAAAUCGUAUCGAUCGUCAAGUCGUCACUUUAAGCCUACUAACCGAACUUAAAAAAAAAAAAAACUUAUCAUCCUAGUAACUUAUAUAAAAACUUUUGAACAGUUCGGUAACUUAAAUAGAAACUUUCAAAUAGUUCAUUUUGUAAAUUUUUGAAGUUGAGUGACUUAAACAUAUUACUAAUAAUUUAGUGACCUGGAGGUAGUUUACCCUAAAAAAUAAAAAAAAAAUAUUUUUAUUUGAAUUUAAUUUAAAAUAUAUAAAUAUUAAUAAAAAUAUUUUUUAUUUUUAUUAUUUUUAAAUAAUAAGUGGUUGAACUGGGUUGAAGUUAAAAACUAUAAGCUUUAAUCUUAACUCAAAAUUGGAUCGAUCGAAUAAGAUACUUAAACUCGACUUGACUUGUUCAACUCAUGAACACAUCUAUCAAAAACUAACUAUGAUCGAAUAUAACCAGUUGGCUCGAUAACCCUUUUUUAUUUUAUAUUGAUAGUUUAUGUUGGUUUAUAAAAUUAUUCACUUUACUUGUUCAAGCUUCAAAAAUUUGAAGAAUUUGAAUAAAAAUAUUAUGUUUGAAAAAUGAAUUUUGAAAAAGAAAAAUUUAUCCCCCGUGUAAUAGUUGGAUGCAGCUUAUUUUGAAUUUAGUGGAAGAUCAAUAUAAUUAAACAAUAAAAAAAUUUAAAAAAAGGUUAAAUUAUGCUAUUAAUCUCUAUAAUAUGUAAACGUUAUGGAUUUAGUCUAUGUACUUUAAUAUAGUCAUUUUUAGUCUUUGUAAACAUAUCAUCACAUGUGUAAUAUCAUGUUAGCUUGUUAUUUCCCCAUAUUACUCACUAAAAAUCCUGAUAAUGAAUGAGUAUCAUUUGCGUCAAUAUUGAAAUUUUAAAAUUUAAAAAGUAUAGGGACUUAGUAUGAUCCAACUGGAGAAUAUGAACUAAAUUUACAACUAUAUGCGUAGUACAGGAUUAGUAAUUAAAUUUAACCAGAUAAAUUUAACUGCUACUGUUUGAGUCAGAACUUUCAAAAUUAGAAAAGUAUGGAGACUGAAAUUGAUCAAAUUAAAGCAUAAGGGUUAAAUCCGCAAUUUUCAUGAAGUACAUAGACUAAUAGCUGAAUUUAACUUUGAGGGAGGGUGGAAUCAGAUGCGUUAUUCAAGUCAUUUUAAUAUAUUCCGCUUAAAACAAAAAAAGUUCAUAAUUUCAACAUCUUCAAUUAGGUCCAAACUACUAUUAACUGACCCUUUUAAAUCCUUAAUCGUUAAUCGAACUAAAUUUUUUAAAAAAAAAAAAUUCGACCAAACUUUUUCGGUUAAUUCGGUGGUUAAUCGAAAUUUAUAUGUUUUUUUUGUUAAAAUAAGUAUAAAACAUAUAAAAAAUUAAUUGAAUUAAACGACCAAUUAAUUUAUACUUCCAAAGAAUUAACCGAACCGACCGAAUAGUUAUAUAUUAUAAUAUUAUUUAUUAAGUUCGGUUAAUUUAGUUAACUGACCAGUUUUAAAUCGAAUUAACCAUUAACCGAACUUCUAAAAAAUUAUUAACUGACUCCGAUCAAAUCAAUUCGAUUAACCGACCAAUUAACUAAAUUCGAUCGGUUAAUCAAAUUAAUUCAAUUUUAACUGAAAUUCGAACACCCUUAUCAUCAACCAUUCAAGGCAGACGAAUCAUUCAACGGCAUCGAUUACAAGUUUAGUUAGCGAUCUUAUGGCUAGUGCUGAACCGCUACUACACCAGAUAAUUAUCUGUUGUUAGUCGUGGAAGAAGCAAUUACCUUAAACUGGCAAUAGCAAAAUCACAGCAACAAAUUUCACACUGAACCGACUCAAAGUCCAUUUUUUUUUGCCUUCUAGAAAACUAAUCUCCUGACCCGUGGUGAUGGAGGAGAAACGCCGGGACGCGGGGAACUCACCGGCUGGACCGAGCUCAGCCGAGCUGGAGCCGGCAACAACUCGCCGUCGAGCUGGAGCACAAAAGAGGAAAGCUAAUUCUCUUUCCGGGUCCAGCUCAUCAUCGACGCCGUCGAAACGGGCUACACGGGAGAAGUCAUCUAACUUGAUCUCCCACUCUUCGAUCAACCAUAACGGUCCUUUAACUAGGGCUCGCCAAGGAGCGCCUAGUGGAAACCUAGCCUUGGGUUUGGGCUCGGGAUUCGGUGGCGCGAAGCUUGAGGAGAGGAUUUUGGUUAAAGAGAGUGUGAAGGCUGAAGAUUUGGAGGAAUUGAAUAAGGCAAGUGAAGAGUUGGAGGCUUUGGAAGCUAAGAUUGAAGCUGAGUUUGAAGCUGUUAGGUCUCGUGACAGUAAUGCGCACGUGGUUCCUAAUCAUUGCGGUGAAUUUUCGUUUUCUUUGUUUGUUUGCUGGGAAAAAAUGGGUACGAAAGGGGAGGGAAAUCGAAGAUUUACUUUUAGAACUUAAGUGAGCUGAAUUUCUUCUUUGGGGAGCUAGUGAAUUGGUGAAAUUAGAUUGAACUUUUUUCCUGUUGAUUUAGAAGUUAAAUUCAGUUUGACUUGAAUCUUAAUUAAAUGGAAACAGGGAAAAAAAUAGUGAGUUCUUAAGUUUUAUUGAGUGCUUAAAUAGAGAGUUUUCUUUCUUUAUUUGUUUGGACUUAUAUGAUAUUAUGAAUGCUGCGAUAAUGUCCUUAUAUAAUAAGGAUUUUAUUAUGUUUAUUUGCUUGAGAGUGCUUUCAUUCAACUGUAGUCUUAAAUGUCAAUGCGGUUUGAAUGGUUGCUAUUCAUACAUUUGAUCGGUAAACAGAAAGAUUUGAAAUGGAUGAAAUGUGAAAAUGUUAAUUCUUUUUUAAAUUCUUUAAUAUUAUGGUUUUCUCACAAGGAAAUGAUAAUAAGUAUUCGGGACAGUUUCUUGUGCUCACAUUUUUCAUUAACAGAGUGCAGACCAGGGCUCUGAAUAAAUUGGCUUUCAUGGAAGCCUCUUAAUUUGAUGUUGUAAAUAUUGAAGAAAAUGAAAUAUUAGACUCUUUGGUGUUUGAUAUUGUUGUCAAUUUUGGUCUUCAUCCUUUUUUGUACUCACAGGAUGGUUUUCAUGGAAAAAAGCUCACCAUGUGGAGGAAUGUAUAUUACCUUCAUUCUUUAAUGGGAAAUCCCCAGUGCGUACCCCUGAUGUGUACUUGGAGAUACGUAAUAGCAUUAUGAAGAAAUUUCAUGCAAAUCCGAGUGUACAAAUUGAGUCUAAAGAUCUGCCAGAUAUUGAAGUUGGCGACUUGGAUGCAAGGCAGGAAGUACUGGAGUUCUUGGACUACUGGGGUUUGAUUAACUUUCAUCCAUUCCCUCCAGGUGAUUCUGCCGUGGUCAGUGCUGAUGGUGAUUGUGACGGGAUAGCGAAAAAGGAUUCUUUGCUUGAAAAUUUGUUUCAUUUUGAGGUGAUUGAAUCGCGCCCAUCAGUUGUUCCCAAAGCUAACCUUUCAACUCCAUCUAUGCCAUCUGGGUUUCUUCCAGAGUCUGCAGUUCUUGAUGAUUUGUUGAGACUUGAGGGACCAUCUGUUGAUUACCAUUGCAACUCUUGUUCAGCUGAUUGCUCUCGGAAGCGCUACCAUUGCCAGAAGCAGGUUCGUGAAUAGUGACUUGACUAAUAAGUCUUAACCUUAAAAUAUUUAGUGCACUAUGCAAGAGAAUAACUGCACCAAUUAUGUCUGUUCAGGUUCUCCCUAUGUUGUUAUUAAAUCAUGCCUGGGUGGAAUUGAUAUAUGUAUUUUGUAUCUACAUAUGCAUGUUAUAUUCAGUUUUAUGUUCCUAAGAGAGCAAGAGGGAAUUCUACCAAUUUAUGCAUCUUCUGUUUAGGCCAAACGGUAACGAAAAAUCCACAAGCCUUUCCGCUUCUCAUCCGACUGUUGUAGAAAUAGGUUUUCAGCAUGUAAGAAAUCAACAUGAAUCUUUUGCACCAUCUGUACAAUUUGUUCUAUGUUUGAUGCUCUACUUGCAACAAUAAUGUAAUGAGCUUUGAAGCUUUGUAUGAAUUGGAUGAUCACAAUGGCAAACGUAACUAAUUUAGUAAAUUGGUUUAUGUUUAUUUAUCGACUUAUUCUUACAUUUCUUUAUGAUGCUAACUAUGUUUGUAUUUGACAGGCAGAUUUUGACUUAUGUACUGAUUGCUUUAACAACCGGAAGUUUGGCUCUGGCAUGUCUUCUUCUGAUUUUAUUCUCAUGGAGCCUGGUGAGGCCUCUGGCCUUAGCGGCGGGAAGUGGACAGAUCAGGAAACUCUCCUUCUUCUCGAGGCACUAGAACUUUAUAAAGAAAACUGGAAUGAGAUUGCAGAGCAUGUUGCGACAAAAACCAAAGCUCAAUGCAUACUGCACUUUCUUCAAAUGCCAAUUGAGGAUGUAUUCUUUAAUUCUGAUGAUAAUAUAGACACUAAUUCCAAAGAAACAUCUGCACCUGCUGUAGUGACUGAUGAAACAUCUGUCCCUAAAGAUGUCUCUGAAGCAACAGAGACUAAGACUACUUCUCAGGAAGAUCAGGUUCCUCAAGAGGACCAGACCCAGACUACGCCCAUGGAUGCUUCAAAACCUGAAGAUGAGAAAGAAAAGAGAGAGAGUGAGGAAAUGUCAAAACCUGAAACAGGAACCGACAUAAAAUGUGCUCCAGAAACAUCAAAGCCAGAAGAAAUGGAUGAAGCAAAAGAUGGACAAGACACCAAAGAAAAUUGUGCAAUUAUGGCUCUAAGGGAGGCAUUCGAAGCUGUUGGUUAUAAUUUAACAUCUGAGAGUACACUCUCAUUUGCUGAUGUGGGAAACCCCGUCAUGGCAUUGGUGAGUUGCAUAUCAGGGAACCAUGUAUUUGUGUUUGAAUAAUUUUUAAUGGCUUUAUCAAGUUUGAUUCAAAUCAGAAGGCAUGUACAUGGCUUUAUUUCAAUGUGCUAAAUAAGCUGAUUGGAAAAGAUUGAGGACAUGACUUGAUGUGGUCCUACUUAAACACUUUGACCUGAUUUCUUAACCCCCAAAGAUGUUAGUCUUUUGAUUCUAUUUAUGUGUCUGUUUAUAUAUAUAUUUUAAUGAAAUUGGUGCCAAGCGUCCUUGGAUUUACAUUCAUAUUUUCCAUGCUUGGUCAUAAAUGAAGGACAGAACCACAAAAUGCUGCAUUUUGCUUUUUCUGCUCCAUUGCAGUAGCUUUUUCAAGGUCUUUUUCUGAAUCCACUUCUUUGUGAAUGAUUGUUAUGCCAUACAAAGUCCUUUAUCUUAUGCUCAUGCUAUACUUAAUGAUGAACAAUCUUCAUUGCUUCAGUCUAGAUGUUUUGCUUCAAGUAGACUUUGCAGCUUUUCUCUUGACAUAUUCCACUUUUCAUUAUUUUCAUCUAUCGAUUUGGUUUGAUAUGUUACAACUAAUUUUACUUCCUCUGCAGGCAGGAUUCUUUGCACGCCUUGCUGGGCCCAAAAUUGGUGCUGCUUCAGCACAGACUUCACUGAAAGCAUUAUCUGGUAGUUCUCCCAACAUUCAACUGGCUGCAAGGAACUGCUUUCUUUUGGAAGAUCCACCAGAUGACAAGAAGGAACAAACUGGUUCUGAGAGGUAUGUAAACCUUUUCUCAAGCUUAUAUUUCCUUGCCACUUUGUGGCUCUUAUAUCUGAUGUGAGUUAGAGUUUGGCAGUGUUGUCAAUGAUGCCGGUAAUCAGGAUGCUCAGAAUGUCGAAAAUUCAGAAAACAAAAGCCUCAAGGAGGACAAGUCCACCCCAGUUUUGGAUCAGAAAAGUUCAUCGAGCAACCAUGCAGACCAAAAUGCUGAAACUUCUCUUCCUGAAGAAAAGGUGACAUCAGCUUCACCUAAUUGCCUAUCCACUGAUAAGAAAGAGCCAGGUACUUCUGCAACCAGUAAGGAAGCUAAAAAGGCUAAUCAAUCAAAAGAUCAUGAACCAGGUGUAAUGAGGGGAUCAGAUAACUUGGCAUCCCAGGUUCCACGAAGUUCUGCGGAGGAGACUGGUGGGAAGGAAACCUCAGCACAAGAGUCUUCUCAACGAACAGAGGUUGUGAAGGAAGUAGAAAUGUCCGAGUCUGUUCCAUUAGAAAAGAAUGAGCCUUCUGAUGCAGCUGCAUCAGAGCCAGUGGCAGAGCUAUCUGAACCAACAGAGGCAUUGAAAAAUGUAGAGACGGUUUCUGGCUCUCCAUCUGGAGCAAAGAAUGAGCAACAACCAGUUAAAUCAAGUUCUGGUGGAGAGAUUUCUCAGCCUACAAAGGCAUCAAAUGAUAUAGAAAUGGUGUCUGAUUCACAGCCAUCAGAAAGGAGUGAACCUCAGCAACCAGUCACAUCUAAUUCAGUAAAUGAAAAUGGAACAAUCACAGGUUUCUCUGCUUUUUCCCUUGAACUUUUUGUUCAGAAGCUGAUUGUACUGAAAUUUUAAGUAAUAUUUUGUGGGAAUACAUAUAAAUAUUUCGCGAGUCAGAUUGAAAAUAUACAUGGAGGGCUAGAUGCAAUAAUUGGUCCUAUAAGGUUAAGCAUAGCAGCUUGGAAAUUUGAAUUUUGAUACAGAGCAAUGUCUUUAUGGUGUCUACUAAAACAUAAAAAGUUUAUUAUAAAAACUGCAUUUUGGAAAAACGGGUACUUUUUAUCUUCUCAUUUUUCUUAUUAUUCUUGGCAGAUGUGAUUAAAGAAGGUAAAAGUGAGAGCCAUACCUCUACAGAAACAAAAGAUGAUAGUAGCAUUGACAAAGUAAAGCGUGCUGCCGUAACAGCACUCUCAGCAGCUGCAGUGAAGGCCAAACUUCUUGCAGACCAGGAAGAGGAUCAAAUCCGGCAACUUACAACAUCAUUAAUAGAAAAGCAGGUAAUUUAGUUGCAAAAGCAAAUGCAGACUCCUUUUAAGAUUUACACAGCUGGAGCAAAAAUUUGAGUUCUUUGAGGCUUUAAUUCAAUGCAGUUUUCUAAGAUGGAAGCCAAAUUAGGUUUCUUCAAUGAAAUGGAGGGUCUCAUGAUGAGGGUAAAAGAGCAAUUAGACAGAUCAAGGCAAAAGCUUUACCAUGAACGAACUCAAAUUAUUGCAGCUCGACUGGGCCUACCAGCUUCCUCCUCUAGAGCAAUGCCACCAGCAAAUACCGCAAAUAGAAUUGCAACCAACUAUGCAAAUUCAGUCGCAAGGCCUCCGAUGAGAACAACUGCCGCAAGACCACCAAUGUCAAGACCUAUGGGGCCUAUGGCUCCUACCUCAUCCAACCCAUUUGUAUCUACAACAGUUGCAGGAAGUUCAAUCCGGCGUGCUAGCCAAGACAACCUUUCUUCAGUCAGAACAAAGUAGUCUCUUUUACUUGUGAAUAGAAUUUGUCAUCCAUUCUUAUACGACGGUCACCAAUCAUGAGGUUUUGCCAGGUGAGUACCUCUUUCGCUUAAGUGUUGCCAUUCGUUUCAGGAACUUUUAAGAACUUAAGAUGUUUCCCUGUGAUAGUUACAGCGCCAGCAUCAAGAGCAUUGACUAUCUCCAACCGACCAAAUGGAGCUGGAAUCUCAUUGUCUUGGGAGGAAGGAGCAGAUGGUUAUUGUUCUCCCUUCGUCCCUACUCGAGUUAAAAACGUUUAAGUCAUCUAACCUGCAAUUUUUUUUACUGUGUCUGGAAUUUUGUAAGGAUAAUAGGUAGUUUGGGUACUCUUGCUGAAUUUAGUGCAAAAAUUAAACAUUCAUGUAGCCUUGGUUACAGAACUCUUUGGUUGUCUUAAGGUGCAAGUGUGGCUGAUGUAACCCAUGUAAUCUAUUAAUGUUAUGAUAUUUUAAUGUUAUAAAUGAUUGUAAAUCUUUGGAUUGGACCUCCUUUCAUCUCUGCUGUUCUCUAGAAACUUUUAAAAAGCUCCCUGUUUUCAUGAACUUGAUCUUUUAGGUGAAAUGCUUGGCUCUAGGGGCAGAGUGUUUGAUCUUAAUUGAGUUGAAGAGUUUAAAUCGAGUUGAAUAACUUUUUUCGAGUUUAACAUAAAUUUGGAAUUAUAUAUUUAUGAACUCUUUCAAAGCAAAAUAAGAUAACUUAGUAUAAUAAAUUUGAUUUGGUAAUUUUGUGUAUUUAAGGCUUUAAAUUUAUUAUUUAUCAUUUUUUAUUUUUUAAAAUUAAAUAUCUUUUAUAAAAUUUUGAGACUUCUAUAAAUAUUUUUGAAAUUUUGAAGAUAGUUUUGAAAUUUUGUAGAUUUUAUAAAAGGAUCAAUUUGCCAAUUUCAAAAAUUGCGAAGAUCUAAUGAGUUUUUACAUCAAUUUAUUAUUUGCAAUCAAUUCAAACUUGAAAAAUUGAAUAAUCCAAAUAAUUAGAUUUAACUAAUUUAAAAUUAAAAGAAAAAUAAUUUUUUUUUAAAGUUAAAUAGUGUUUCUCAUUCAUAUAUUUAGAUUUUCUUUAUUUCCUAAUAAAAAAUUUAUAUUUAAUGCAAAGAUCGUAUAUAUAAGUUUAUACGUCGUAAAUAAAUCACAAGAAGUCACUUAUUAAAAAAAUAUAAUAAGAAUCAUUUAUCUUUAAUGUGUUUAAAAUUUAUGUAUUAAUUUUUUCUAAAAAACUAUUUAUUAAUUUUUUGAUUAUGCAUUUUAAUAUGACAAUCUGAUAAUGAUAUUGUAAUUAUCCACAAGAUAAAAUGAAAUAUUCAUUAUAAUAAGAGUAAGAUAAAUUAUAGAAGUAGUAUACUAGAAGGGCUCAACAGGUAUGCUAUUUAGUAGAUAAAUAUCUUUAUUAUAUGCAGUUUUAAUUGCAUUUUUAUUAAAUUUAAAAUGGUUUUUAUAUAAUAAUAAUAAUAAUUCUCUUACGAAAUAUAUCAAUAUAAUCCCUAGGAUUCGCGUGGGGAUUUUUUAAUAAAAAAUAAUUUUUAAAAUGAAACCAUAAUAAUUCUAAGAAAACGAAUAAUAUUAAAAUGAAACUAAAACAAUUACUAAAUUUAUAAUUUUUUUAAAAAAUAGAAAUAUAUUUCCAAAUUUUGUUAAAUUAAAUUAUUAUUUUCAACUAUUACCAUUUUUAAUAAUUAAUUAAUUUGUUUUUAACUAUUAAAAAAGGGUAAACUAUAAAAUUGAUCACUUAUGUUUAUGUAAAUUUACAUUUUGGUCACUGAACUUUAUUAAAUUAUUUGACUACUAAAAACUAUUUAAAAAAAAAAAGAGAGAAGAAAUUCAUGUUUGACUGACUAUUUUACUUCAGGGACUAGAUCAGUAAUUUACCUCAAAGUGAAAGAAGUGAAAUCUUAACGUGACCCUUUCUUUUUCUUUUCUUUUAUUAUUAUUUAUUUCCUUUUUUAUUUUAUUUUAUUUUAUUUUAUUAUUACUAUUUAAUUUUUAAUAUAAAUAAAAAUAGAAGCUUAAAUUUAUAUAUUACAAAGUCUUCCGAUUUACUUGAGACACUUUUUUUUUUAUAUAUAUUACAUAAAAUAAAAUAUUAUAUUAAUAAAUUAGUUUAUUACCAACGUAAUAAAAUAUAAAACCAUUAAUCAAAACUUAUCUACUAAAAUAAAUAGACAGAUUAUAAUAUGACUCCUCAAGUAACCUAUUUCUUGUUGUACAAGUAAUGGUGGGCUUAUAUAUCAUCUUACGUGUACUUCCAUGUUGAACUAACAAGAUUAGAAAGCAGUUCUUAAAAGUCGGCACUCUACCGACAAAACAGAGACAGAGAUUACGAUAUUGCGCAGACACAAAACAGAGUGAGAUUACGGCAACAAAAACAAAGCAACGAUGUCGAUUUCUAGCAAUAAGUCGAUCGUUGUGAGACGAGUGUUUGCUGAAGAUUUGGACAAUGAACUCUGGUUGAUUAAGGUAGCAAUUUUGAGGUAUCCUUUUGUAUUUAUGGAUACUGAAUUUCCGGGGACGAUUUUUAAACCAAGUAAGCAAGUGGUUUUUGAAGACAAUCCCGUUAUUAAUUAUCAUUAUAUGAAGUCGAAUGUUGAUGCGCUUCAAAUUAUUCAGCUCGGCUUGAGUCUUUCGGAUGCUCAAGGUAAUUUGCCGGAUUUUGAUUCUCCCUUUUGUUAUGUUUGGGAAUUUAAUUUUAAAGAUUUCAAUAUCAACCGAGACCACUAUGCUAGCACUUCGAUCGAGCUGCUCAAACGUCAAGGAAUAGAUUUUGAGAAGAAUAAAGAGAAGGGGAUUGAUUCUAGAGAUUUUGCAAAGAAGCUUUGGGAUUACGGUUUGGUUUUCAAUUGUUAUGGUCUGAAUGGUAUUACUUGGAUUACUUUUCACGGUGCUUAUGACUUUGGAUUCAUGCUAAAGAUGCUUACUCAAAGUCCAUUGCCUUUGGAUCUUCACUCAUUCGUGCAUCAAUUGGCUUAUUUCUUUGGCUACAAUGUUUUCGACCUCAAACACACAUUCAAACUAUUAGGGUUGCUGGGUGGUUUAGAGAAAAUAGCUCAAACAUUAAAAGUAACUCGUAUUGUCGGAUCAAGUCAUCAAGCCGGGUCGGACAGUCUACUCAUGCUUCAAUGUUUUAUGAAGCUCAAGAGUAAGAAAAUUUUUGAAUCUGGAUGGAAUGAGGCGAAUCAAAUACUACUGACUCCUCUAGCAUUAUACGGGCUAGUUCAAAUCAUAGGAUGAAAUAUUAUACUCUCUUUUAUGUCUCUUUUGAUUAGUGACAUAAAAGCAAUGUUAUUGAAGAUAUUACAUUAAUAUGUUUCCAAAACUAUAAUCUCCUACUUGAUGAUUUUUUUUAGCUGUGUUCAGUUUUUUCCUUUAUGACUUGUGUGGAAUUUGAAGCUUCAUUAUGAUGGGUUUUAUGUAUUUGCUUGGAUAUUCAAAACAUGAAAAAGAUGCAUUACAUACGUAAUCAUAAAUUGGCAGAGUAACAUAUCAGUAAUGUUUAGGUGCUUUCCAUGGUGCUGGUGUUUUAGCUGUAUAUUAUUAUGGGAUAUUAUAUUUAGGAAUAUAUUAUAUAUUUUUCCAUAUAUUUAGGUAUAUAUCUCUUUUCUAUGCCUAAGUAACUACUGUUAUAAUGUCUAUCAAGAAAAGAAUCCCUAUUCUGGUCAGUCCUCCAUAUUUGAUUUACAUUCAAUAACAAGCCUUUCAAGGCUUCCAAUUUGAGUAAUAAGAUAGUGAUGAAACUUUUAAAAGCAGCUGAAAGGUGCAGAGGAAACAGGGGAUAAUCUUUGUUUGGAACAGCUGAAAGGUUUCCAAUUCGAAAGUGCUGAAUGUUAUGUUUGCAGAACUACUUUAUGGUUUUUAACUUAAAUAUGUUCCUCUGCCCCACUCUUUAGAGCAUCCUUCGCUAUGCAUUGGAAAGCUUCUUCCACGUUAACACUCGGAUUUGUACACUAUGAAAAACGUACAUAUAUCUUUGUAUGCAUAAAUUGAGCAUCCUUCGCUAUGAAAAACGUAAUAGGAUUAUGAAGAAAUUUCAUGCAAAUCCGAGUGUACAAAUUGAGUGCCAGAUAUUGAAGUUGGCGACUUGGAUGCAAGGCAGGAAGUACUGGAGUUCUUGGACUACUGGGGUUUUAUUAACUUUCACUGAAAGCAUUAUCCGGAAGUAUUGAACCACUUUGUGGCUCUUAUAUCUGAUGUGAGUUAGAGUUUGGCAGUGUUGUCAAUGAUGCCGGUAAUCAGGAUGCUCAGAAUGUUGAAAAUUCAGAAAACAGAAGCCUCAAGGAGGACAAGUCCACCCCAGUUUGGGAUCAGAAAACUUCAUCCAGCAACCAUGCUGACCAAAAUGCUGAAAUUUCUCUUCCUCAAGAAAAGAUGACAUCAGCUUCACCCAAUUGCCUAUCCACUGAUAAACAGCACUCUCAGCAGCAGCAGUGAAGGCAAAACUUCUUGCAGACCAGGAAGAGGAUCAAAUCCGGCAACUUACGACAUCAUUAAUAGAAAAGCAGGUAAUUUAUUUGCAAAAGCAAAUGCAGACUCUUUUACUUGUGAAUAGAAAUUGUCAUCCUGAAUCCUUAAAAAUUAAUCAAUUUUACUUUUUUUACUUUUCCAAUUCUAAAAUUCCAACCAUUAUCCAAAGAUAACAAUUGAAUCCAUUUGGUUAAAUUCCGGCAUUAGUCAUGUAUUAAGCAUAAUCGGGUCAAUCUUAUUCCCUAUCAUUUUCGAAUUUGAAAAUUUCAAUAACGACAAUCGUUAAAUUCAUUAUCUAACUUUUUUUUUAGUAUGUAGAAAUAGAAACUAACAUGGUUUCACAUAUGUGAUAAUAUCUCUGUCAAAUCAGAUUUUUGGGAAGAUUGAAGUUUAAAAACUCGAAAACUAUAAGACUUAAAAUUGGUUGAAUUAAAGCACAAGAACUAAAUCCACAACUUAAUAAUAAAAUUUAAUUAAAUUCAAAAGUACUAAAUAUAUAUGUUUGCGAUAGUAAAACUAAUUAUGAUUUUUUUAACUUCAUUAUGCAUUGAAGGAUCUUAAUUAGAAGUGUUCGUGGGCUAUGCCAAAGUUCGAUAUCAAAAAAAUUUGCCUAGCUUAACCCAACUUGUCCAAAAAGCAUACACUUCUUCUAAAACUAAUAAAAUAACAAAAGAAUAUAUUUUAUAUUAAUAUUUAUAUAUUUUAAUAAUUAAAUUUUCGUUAAAAUAUUUUUAAAAAUCAUUUAAUUUAAACUUGAGUUAAUCCAGCUAGACCCGAAGACAAAAAUUCAUUGUUUAAGCUCAACCCAAAUCAAUUGAAUCAAAUAAAAUACCCAACUCAUGAAUAGGUCUAAUAUUAAGCUCCCAAAAAGUUAGGAGGUUAAAAUAUUAUAAUGAUAAGUUAAAUUGGAAGAAAUUUAAAAAAGAGAGCAAGACAAUUUUAAAAUGUUUUAUACUAGAAAGGUUUGAGACGGUUUAUUAUUUAGUCGAUAAAACACCCCCAAAACAAUAACGUUAACCUGUUGAAUUUGUAAUUAAGUUAUCAUUGCGGAAUGUAUAGGGUAGAUGUCUUUGAUGAGACAAUGACGUCUAUUAUGGGAUAUAUCCUAUCAUUCAUUCUGAUACAAUGUACAGAGCCGUUGAAAGAAAAACCCUGACCCCUAAGCUGUCAACUUACCCUCGACACUUAACAUUCAAACUCUCUCCACGUCUACCCUUUAUAAUUUCCGACUCUUCACAACACUUCACCCUGAUUGAUACCACCACAUCUUCCUCACAACACUUGAUUGAUACCACCACAUCUUCCUCAGUACUCUUUCCUUAUUAUAUCAUUGCAUCAACGCCUAAGUAAAUGGAUAAAUCAUGGAAAAAAUGGACCAAAUUUUAGUAGCCGAUUGGAUUGAUUUCACAAAUAUUCGAUGAUUUUAGAAUAGUUUUCACAAGCUGCUAAGCUGAGAUUGGGUUUUCUUUUAUAAAUAAUGUUCAUUUUACGGACAAUGAAAAUUAAUUCUUCCACAAGAUAAUCUUAGUUUGAAAUUAUGAAAUAUACCAUAAAAUGUACUUUAAAAACAAUGCGUAGGCAGUGCAGAACAAAAAACAAUGUUUACAAAUGAGAACAUUACAGAACUAAAUCCAGCCAAACCAAAAGCAUUAACAGACCUUUUUUUUUUCUCACACCAACACCAUGAAUCCCAUAAAAUGGUUGGGAAACACCAAAUCAUUCGAAACAUUUUAACCGUACUUAUUGGCGGAACAGGAAAAAAUAAUGAACAUGCAUGAUAUCUUUCAACAUUCGCAUCCGCUUGACCUUGGUUGGCUGCUGCUGCUCCCAACAUCUAUGGUGUCGGGCAAGUAUCUUCAUGAACGAAAACAAAAACAUGAAAAAAUAAGAAAGUAUUAACAUGACUGAAAAUGUUCAAAAAUUAAUUAAUGCAAGUUUAAGAGUUAAAAAAACAAAAAAUUAAAUGGAGAGCUAAAAUGACAUUUUUUUGUAAAGUUUGAGGGCCAAAUAAGUCAUCAUGCUAAAAAUAAAUUCACAAACUAAACAGUCUGCAACUAUGUGUCCUCAAUAUUAAAUAUUGCCAUGCAAAUAUUGCUACUUCCCGGUUUGAGAAUGUACAAGCUAAACCAUUGUAUUGCAUAUCUAUGUGUAGCAAUUGAUUGGUGUUACCGAGGGCUUUUUUUUCAUAAUUCGAAAGUGCUGAAUGUUAUGUUUGCAGGAGUAGAACUACUUUAUGGUUUUUAACUUACAUGUCUUCCUCUUCCCCACUCUUUAGAGCAUCCUUUGCUAUGCAUUGGAAAGCUUCUUCCACGUUAACUCCUUCCUUGGCAGAUGUCUCGAAAUAGGGGAUAUUUCCUUUCGAGGCACACCAUGCUCGGGCCUUUUUCAAAGACACCUAGAGAGUCAAAACAAUGUGGAUAAUUGUAUCUUUUAGGAAGAAAGAGAAUAUCAAGUGACACUGUAAAGGAAGAAUUGAAAAAUACAUACCACUCUACUGUUUCCACCAUCAACAUCGAUUUUGUUCCCCAAAACAACAAACGGGAAAUUCUCAGGAUCCGAAGGGCUUGCCUGCAAGGUUUCUCAAAUUGUCAUUUCUCUACUGAAUAAAUCCCAGAGAGUUGAUAGAUGGUUUUCAUCUGUAUUCAGAAGUUCAGAAUAUAUACCUGAAUAAGGAAUUCUUCUCUCCAGUUGUUAAGGUUGUCAAACGAUUUCAUUGAGUUGACAUCAUAUACAAGAACACAACAAUCAGCACCGCGAUAGAAAGCAACACCUAGGCUCUGGAAUCUUUCCUGGCCAGCUGUGUCCCAGAUCUGAGGGGGAAAAUCGAUGAAUUUUGAGCUAAGUGGUCACUCAAAUAACACAAAAAGGCUAAAAGAAAAGUUAGAUAAUUUUAGAAUGCAAUGCUACAAUCUGCUAGAAAAUACUCAAUAGUGAUCCAUGAGGUUGUCUAAUGCUAAAUCACAGAAGUCUAGUCAACAAGUGGAGCAACAUAAUUCCCUAGUCAAUAACCACAAAUCCGCUCCUCGUCAAUUGAUCAAUGAUAUAACUAAAGAAAAAAGCAGCCAUGGAGUUUUUCAAUGAAUAAAAAGAAAAAAGUUAGCAUUGGCAGUUAUGAGUUAAAUAUCAUAGAGAAAAGAUGCAUUUGUCACAGAUCUUGGAUGCAAAGCUAGAACUUGGUUCAAGAACAAAGGAGUAGGUAUAAAAAACCAAGCACUAGUCAAUAACACACCAUAGUCGUUCAUUGUAGAUUAAGAUCUCAAAAAAAUAAACAAAUACAGCAACUAAAACAAUCUCAUCGAGAUGUUAAAAAGUAGAGAUCAGUGUGAAAUCUAACCUGUAAGGUAAAAAGCCUAUCCUCAAACUGCACUUCCUUUGUCAAAAAAUCAGCUCCAAUCGUCGCCUUAUACUGAUUGCUAAAUUUCUUAUUUACAUAUCUAAAAGUAAAAUGUAAAGGCAAACAAAACCAUAACUAAUAGUAAAAAACAAAACCAUAUCUAAAAGUAAAAAGUAAAUUUCUUAUUUACAUAUAAAAAAAACACUUCAUUUCUCUGCUUUUCUCAAUAAUUAGUAAAAAACGACUGCUGCAGGAUACUGAUUCAUCAAAGACGUCUUCCCUACCCUGCAAAUUAAAGAUCACAAAUCACAAUCAAAUCAUAAUCAUUCGACAACAAACGAGAGCAGUAAUUCGAAUAGAAAGAUCCGUACGGAAAACCUAGAAACGAAUUCUUUCAAAAUACAUGCGAAUAUAUACGCAUAAAAUUGAACGGACAGGCUUAUAAUAAUAGCAACAAGAAAAAAGAAAACACUAACCCGCUGUCGCCGAGGAUGAUGACCUUCAAGAGGGUUCUACGGCGAGAAGGCAUCGUAAAGAACACUAAGGAAUCAGCGGAUGUACAGAUCGAUAGAAAAAGGAGAAAAAAUUUUCUAUAUUGAAACCUAGUGAGAGGACUGGUGGACUUGUUUGUCUGGCAGGAAAACUGGCUGAAACUUUCUAGCGUGUUUUUCAAAGUAUUUUCUAGCUUUUUUUUCUCUCUCUCUCUCUUAUGCAAAAGCUGGAAUGACCUGUAAUUUGUGAAGGAAUUGAGGGAAAGUUUGGGUGACAGCUUUGUUUGAUUGUUUGUUUUGUUCAACAUGAGUGAACCUAUGAGUAACUGAUUUGGUGGUAGCUUGUUGAUUGGUCUGUUAUUUAUGGAAAAAGAUUUAAAGGUAACGUUAUCUUCCCUUGUUGCUCCUGUUAGACCAAAUUUAUCAAUAGAGCUGGGCGGGCCAGGGUGGAGCUGGGUUUUUCUAACCGACCCGAUUGAAAAUUUAUGUUGAUCCGAUCCGAUUUCUACAUUGUAUGACUUGCGGGGAAGAUUAUUAGGUUUUCUCGGUCGAAUUUUUUUGAUGAAACUAAUUUAACUGAUUAUAACCUACAAAAAUUUCAUCAGCGAAACUAAGUAAAAGGUGGUCACCACAAUAAUUUCAUCAGUACAAAAAAUAAACAUAUAUUUGUAAAAGGGAUAUAUUGAGUAUUCUUGAAAAAAGUUUUAGAUUCAUAACAUUUAUGGAUUUAUUCAUCUGUAAUGUUUAUAGUGUGAUAUACCUUAAUCCUGAGUGGAAGAUGGACUAAAUACGCAUGACUCAUACUUUAAUGUAAGUAAAAAAUUGAGUUCAAAUAGAUAAUGAACUGAAAACUAGUGUGUUGGGUAUACGACUUCUGUAGUAUGUAGCAUCAGUUACAAAAGUGAAAUUCAUAACCUAACUAAUGGGUAAAUGAUAUUCUCUCAUCGACAUUACAUGAUAGAUAAAAAGUAAAUGUGGUCAUGGGUCGUUUGUCUUUGUGACAAAUGACUUUAUUACUAUCUAAUAGUAAUUGACUUUUCAUUAAGGAAGAUAUAAUUGUUGCUAUAAGAUAAAAUAAGAUUUUAUUGGGGGAGUAGAUUUAUUCCAAAGAGAUUAAUAAUAUCUUAUGAGGGUAAUACACUUAUGACAAAGUCAUUGGAUGAGCAUUGAUUAGGUAGCUUUCAUAAUGAUAUAUAAUUAGAGAGAGUUCAGUUAUGAUUCUAUAGUGAAAUCACUUCGUGACUAAAUAUGUUUAUAAUUAAUAGGCAAAAAGUUAAAACUUAAUUAUAAAUUAUUUGAACCCUAAUUAAAUAUAUUCAAUCGGUCCCUCCGCUAGCUUAUUGAAACCAUAGACGAAUUGCACAUAAAACCAAAUAAACAAAAAUGAAUGAAAAUGACAAUGAUAAAAAAAUGAAUCACAUUAACAAUUGAAUGCGUUUUCUCCAUAUUUGAAUUAUUAUUUUUAUUAAUUAUAAUCAAAUAAUUGAAGUUUAAAUAUUAAAAGUGUGAAGGUUGGGUGUUAUCCAAAGGUGUUUCAAGGCAAAGUCCAAUCAAGCACCGAAGGAGAAUGUGAAACCAAGUGAGAAAAAGUCCAACCCCUCUCAUUUGAGAGUGCAACGAAAAGAGUGGUGAUAACACCGACAAUGUGGAAGUAAAGGAACCUAGAACGAUGGUUCCAAGAGUAGCGAUGCUCAAGCAAAGCCGAGGGUAGAAGACUUGACGCAAAGGCUCCAAAGGAGUCACUCACGAAGAAGGCAACGACCAAAGAAUCGAGAGCAAUGCUCCCUUAGCAACAAGGGCAUUGUUGGAUUGAGUGAGGAUGAAUGUCAUGCCUCAUGUUGACACAAUUUUUUUGGAUGAAAACAGGGUCGACUUGGAUUUUGAAAAUAGGAUGAAAACGGAAGUCGCCACCAAUCUUUUUUGAUAAGGUGUGAUCGGGUCACCUCGAAAAGUGGUUGUUUUUUAAUAAACGACUUAAUUUUUAUUAAAACAAAGAUUUUGGUCUAUGAAAUUCAAAAAAAGAAAAACGGGUUCGGAAGUCGGUUACGCACGAGGAAGGAUUAACACCCUCGAUACGCCCAAAAUUGGUACCUAGUUGAUUAAUCAGUGUCUUAGUGUCGAAAAUUAAAAAUUUGAAGAGUUUUAAAAAAUACGAUCCUUAAAAGAAACUCUGAUAACGUGAAUUGAAAUAUAAGAUUCUCUUGUUCCGAAGGAAUAUCACAUCCAGCACGUUAGGACACGACACUCUAAACCAUCGAAACCAAGAUCACCUUAUAGUUUAAUGAAACCAUACUUUGAAGCUUUAAGAGGAUAUUUGGCUAUUUAGUCGAACGAGAAAUCGAAGCCCAGCACGUUAGGGCACGUUUUCUCGAUUUUCCAAACGCGAAAUAUUGCCUCAUUUAGAAAAAUUUUCCUUUUGAUGUUUAGUGUCAAUGCUUGACAAAACAACAACGAAUACGACAAGGUGAGCAAAGUAAAGUGAGUAACAACAAUACAAUAGGCAAAAUGAAAUGACGAGGCGAUUACAUAAACAAAGCAUACAAAUAAAUAAAUAGAACUAACCUUUUAGAAAAAGCACAAGUGUACAUGAAUAAAUAAACAAACGCCAAAUAACAAUGAUGACAAUAAAUACAAUUAUGUAAAAAUGUAUAUGCAUGUAUAAUUUUAAGCCAUAAAAUAAGAAAUGCAUAUAAAUUAUAGAAUAUGAAAACAUAGAUAAAUAUAUACAUAUAUGUGUAAAAAAUAAUAUUAUAAAAAGGGUACGUAUACAUGUAUAAAAAAAAUAAAUGUAUUAACAAUGAAUAUAAUAGGGGUAAGAAAACAAGUAUAUACACAAUAUAUAUGUAACGUGGUACUAAGGAUAUAUAUAUAUACAAUACAGUAUUUAAAAUAAUAUUUACGUAAUACAAAAUAUAAUAUUAAAAGGUAUAUGUACAUACGUAAUAUAUAAAUACAUAUAUAAUAUAAUGUUAAAAUAUUUACAUAAUACUAAAAUAUUUAGGUAAUAUAUGCGUAUAUUGAAAACUAGUAAUAAUAUUACCGAGGUAUAUACAAAUAUAUCAAGUAUAUACGUAUUAUAAAUAUAUAAAUAUAUAACAAAGCAUAAACUAAUAAAAAUAAUAAGAAUAAUAAUAAUGAUAACAUUGGAAUAUAAAAGAAACAAACAUAAAAUUAAUAAAAUAUUAAAAUAAAGUGAAAUAAAAAUAUUAAAUAUGAGAAUAUAUAUAGGUAUACACGUACAUAAUAAAAAUAUAUACUAAUACAUAAUAAUAAUGGUAAUACUAAUAAUACUAAUAAUAUAAAAAUAACAAGGAUAUUUAAUAAAGAUAUAAAAAUCAACAAAAAAGGACUAAAAUUGAAUUAAAAACAAAGUUGUGGGGCCAAUUUGAAAUGAAAACAAAGAAAAGGGACUUAAUUGUACGCGCGUGAAACGUUGGGGGACCGAAACAACAAUUAUUCCUUUCCAUUAAAACGCAGCAUAUUGGCGGGGACUAAAUCGAAAAGCGCGAGAAAUUAUAGGGCCAAAUUGAAAACCAUAAAAAACUUAAUUGUGAAGCAUCAGAAAAGCGGAAGGACUGCGCGCAUAAAUAUCCCAUUCAAAUGAAAACACGCGGAUCCUCUAGCGGGUCGGGUCGGAUGGGUCGGGCAUGGCCAAAACGACGUCGUUUUGGGGCUUAAGUGUAGCCCCUAAAACGACGUCGUUUUGGAGGGCUAUAUAAGGCCUAAACUAACCAAAAAAAUCAUUUGGGGAGAGGGAAAGAAAAAAAAAAAGAAGAGAGAGGGAAGAGAGAAGGGAGAGAGAAGGGAGGGGGGAAGGGGAAUCCGGCCAGGGGGCUGGUCACCGGACGGCCACCGGAGGCUCGCCGGUGCCGGCGCCAGCCACCGCACGCGGUGGCCGAAAAAGGUAAAAAAAAAAUUUUUUGUUUUUUUUUAUUUUUCGAUUAUAUGUGUAUAUGUAUGCUAGAAAUGAGGAAGAAAAGAAAAAAAUGGAUUUAAGAAGAUAAUAGAGAAAAAUAAAAAAACAAAAUCACCUUCCGAUUUAUGUUUUCGUUCCUUGUUUCCCUUUUUUUGUAUUUUUCUCUGCUUUUUGUAUUAAAAUACCGAAAAAAAAAAGAGAAACCCCCCCCAAAAUACAACCGAUUCUUCCCUUUGAAAUCUCCAAAAAAAACAUAAAAAUCCCCCUAUUACAAAUGAUAGAUUUCGGCUUUUAAAGCCAAUAUAUUUUUUUCGUUCCUUUUGUUUAUUACUUCCCCCAUCAUUCGCAUGCUUUCUUUGCUGUUGUGUUUGUUCUUGUUGCAGGUGGUGGGCACGGUGGAGCAGGUGGGAGUGUCAGACGCGUGGGGCGUGGUGGCCAAGGCUGAGGAGGCCACGUAAGGCAUGCGGCGGCCAGCUAGGGUUUGCUGCUGAAAUUUUAAGUUUGUGGGCUGAUUAUUUUGGGCUUAAGGUUUGGGUAGUUGGGAUUGAAUUUUGGGUUUGUUGUAUUUUAUUUUAUUUGGACAAUGGGCCCAGUAAAUUUGGGCUUCUACAGCUGCCCCUCUUUGCUCGUUUUCGUAUAACGAGAACAGAGCAAAGACUAAGAAAGACCAAAUUUGCCUGGUCUCGCCGAGGCUUGACUUCUUUGGGUGCUUCUCUUCUUCAAGUAGCCUUAUUCCAGCCUGCUACAUCUUGUUGCUUUGAUCCACUCUACUGCAAUUUCAGAUACGCCUUGUAGCUUCAAUCUACUCUGCUACGACUCCAUGGGGAUGAGAUAUGUGUUUUUAGUCUGCUCCACUACUGCUUAGGGAGAUAAGACUGGAUGUGAUCUACUCCACUACUGCUUAGGGGAAUAAGAUCUGUGGUUCUGUCUGCUCCACUAUUGCUUAGGGAGAUAAGACUUGAUGCGAUCUGCUCCACUACUGCUUAGGGAGAUAAGAUCUGUGGUUCUGUCUGCUCCACUAUUGCUUAGGGAGGUAAGACUUGAUGCGAUCUGCUCCACUACUGCUUAGGGAGAUAAGAUCUGUGGUUCUGUCUGCUCCACUAUUGCUUAGGGAGAUAAGACUUGAUGCGAUCUGCUCCACUAUUGCUUAGGGAGAUAAGAUCUGGUUUCUGUCUGCUAGAGAAGUGAGAUUCACCGUUGUGGCUUCAAUCUGAUUAAUUGCAAUGUCGGGGAACAAGAUUCGCCGUUGUAGCUUCAAUCUGAUCCACUGCAUCGCCAAGAAAGUAAGAUUCGCCGUUGCGGCUUCAAUCUUUUAAAUUGCAAUAUCAAGGAAGCAAGAUUCGCCAUCGUAGCUUUAAUCUGCUGCACUGUACUGCCAGAGAAGUGAGAUUCGCCGUUGUGGCUUCAAUCUCUUUAAUUGCAAUGUCGGGGAACAAGAUUUGCCGUUGUAGCUUCAAUCUAUUCCACUGCUGUCCAGGGAGACAGAGUUAUCGGCUUCAAUGUACUCCACUGUAGUCAAUGAGGUAAAAUCUGCCAUCUUCGAUCUGCUUUGCCGCCAAAUACAGGAAGGCAAGAUCUGCAAUCCUCAAUCUAUUCCACUGCCAAAUACAGGGACAAGAUCUGCUUUCUUCGAUCUACUUCACCACCAGUAUGGGAAGACAAUAUCUGUAUCUUGGAUCCACUUCCUAUCAAUAUAGGAAGAUAGGACCUGCUAUCUUCGAUCUACUUCACGCCAAUACAUGAAGACAAGAUCUGCUUUCUGUGAUCUACUUCGCCACCAGUAUGGGAAGACAAGAUCUGUAUCUUGGAUCCACUUCCUAUCAAUAUAGGAAGAUAGGACCUGCUAUCUUCGAUCUACUUCACGCCAAUACAUGAAGACAAGAUCUGCUUUCUGCGAUCUGCUUCGCCACCAAUAUGGGAAGACAAGAUCUGCAUCUUCGAUCCACUUCCUACCAAUAUAGGAAGAUAGGAUCUGCUACCUUCGAUCUACUUCACGCCAAUACAUGAAGACAAGAUCUGCUUUCUGCGAUCUACUUCGCCACCAAUAUGGGAAGACAAGAUCUGCAUCUUCGAUCCACUUCCUACCAAUAUAGGAAGAUAGGAUCUGCUACCUUCGAUCUACUUCACGCCAAUACAUGAAGACAAGAUCUGCUUUCUUCGAUCUACUUCGCCACCAAUAUGGGAAGACAAGAUCUGCAUCUUCGAUCCACUUCCUACCAAUAUAGGAAGAUAGGAUCUGCUACCUUCGAUCUACUUCACGCCAAUACAUGAAGACAAGAUCUGCUUUCUUCGAUCUACUUCGCCACCAAUAUGGGAAGACAAGAUCUGCAUCUUUGAUCCACUUCCUACUAAUAUAGGAAGAUAGCACCUAUUUACGCCUAGUGUUUAGGAUGACAUGAUCAGAAUGAAUCAAAUGCUCCUAACUAGAUGUGUAUGUAUUAUAUUUGUAGAAUGUCAUGAGAAUGAUCCAUUUUUAAUGCUUAGGUUGUCAUUCCUCAUUGUUCAUCAAGGUUCUAUCACUGAUGCCUUCUUGUUCAGCCAGUACCUUUGACAGAAAACCUAAAGAAAUAGAUGCUAUUUAGACUAUCAUUUCUCAAAUGUUUCCAACCCUUAGGUUUGGUUAGUUCUAAACAAUAGUCCUGUUUCAGGUCCUCGUAUUAUUUAGAAACUUUCAGAGUAAUAUGCAGAACUCCUUCUGCAUGUGUAUUGUCAGUCCAUUAAUCGUUAUUUCAAUGAAAAAUGCUUGAAAAAGAUUAUCAAAAUGGACAAAAUGAAAUUUUGUUGAGAGCAAAGCUCUAAACAAACAAAUCAAGAUAGCAAAUUUUGCUGAGAUACGAGAGGAAUAAGAUGAAAAAGAUUAUCACAACGGAUAAGAUGAAAAUUUGCUAAGAGCAAAGCUCUAAAUGAACAAAUUAAUCAAGAUAGCAAAUUUUGCUAGAAUACAAAACGAGAAUAAAUUAAUCAAGAUGAUGUAUUUUGUCAAAAAUACAAAAAAUGAAUAAAAUGGAAAUAGGUGCCCAGAUAUCGUAGCAUGAGCUUCUCUGCCCCAAACUUCUUAAGGACCCUUUUGAACUUGAUAUGUGUUUAGAAGUCCUAGAAGGCUUUGUUGAUGCCCCAAGAUGUAGCAUAUUUCCUUCUUAUUAAUUCGGAGAAGACAAAACUACUCUAUGCCUCAUCUUUGAUCGAAAAUUUGAAUUGCCCAUUCCUGGGUUUUCAAUUCAAAACCCCUUUGGUCUCAAGGUGCCCUUUGCGGGUUUUCGCCUUGGCCUCUCCUUCUUUUUUUUUUUUUAGGAAAAGUACCUCUUCACUGAAUUCGAAUUCACAGGAUUGGGCAAGCUUUUGCCAUCCAUCCCAGUUAAAAUUAAUGCCCCUCCUAAAAAAGCCUUUUUUACUACAUAAGGUCCCUCCCAGUUUGGCAUCCACUUUCCUCUGAAGUCUUUUUGUAUGGGAAGGAUCUUCUUCAGUACCAAGUCCCCUUCAUGGAAGUUUCUAGGACGAACUUUCUUAUUGUAAGCUCACAUCAUUCGUUUCUGGUACAUUUGACCAUGACGGAUAGCUCUUAACCUCAUUUCUUCAAUCAAGUUCAGCUGAUCAUAUCGGGAUUGGACCCAUUCUGCUUCGUCUAACUUUAGUUCUGAAAAAACUCGAAGAGAGGGAAUUUCAACCUCAAUUGGUAGCACUGCCUCUAUUCCAUAAACCAAAGAGAAUGGUGUUGCCCCGGUAGAAGUCUUGACGGACGUUCGAUAAGUAUAGAGGGCGAAUGGCAACUUCUCGUGCCAAUCUCUAUAGGUCUCAGUCAUUUUCCC
rnacentral:lncRNA from 1 species